rnacentral:rRNA from 1 species
GCGUUGUCCGGAUUUAUUGGGCGUAAAGAGCGUGUAGGCGGCCUGAAAGGUCAGCUGUGAAAACUCGAGGCUCAACCUCGAGACGUCGGUUGAAACCAUCUGGCUAGAGUCCGGAAGAGGAGAGUGGAAUUCCCGGUGUAGCGGUGAAAUGCGCAGAUAUCGGGAAGAACACCCGUGGCGAAGGCGGCUCUCUGGGACGGUACUGACGCUGAGACGCGAAAGCGUGGGGAGCGAACAGG